rnacentral:rRNA from 1 species
UACAGAGGUCUCAAGCGUUGUUCGGAUUCAUUGGGCGUAAAGGGUGCGUAGGCGGCGCGGUAAGUCGGGUGUGAAAUCUUGGAGCUUAACUCCGAAACUGCAUUCGAUACUGCCGUGCUUGAGGACUGGAGAGGAGACUGGAAUUUACGGUGUAGCGGUGAAAUGCGCAGAUAUCAGGAGGAACACCGGUGGCGAAGGCGGUUCUCUGGGAAUGUCCUGACGCUGAGGAGCGAAAGUGUGGGGGAGCGAACAGG